UGCCACACCGGUUCCCUUACGAUCACCUUAGUAAAGCAACGUCGAGCCUGGUGAGUACAUUGAUGGGUGAACGGUUGGGAAUACCUGGUGCUAUAA